rnacentral:misc_RNA from 1 species
AAGGAUCAUUAUCGAAUAAAUUUGAACAGGCUGUUGCUGGCCCCUCAAGGGGACAUGUGCACGCUUGUCAUCUUUAUGUUUCCCAACUGUGCACAUAUUGUAGAUCUGGUGGUAUUUUUAUCUUGCUUUGCAUAGAUUGAGGAUUUGCUUUGCGGCUUUCCUUGUCUUCCCAGGUCUAUGUUUAUUUUUCACAAUCUCUGAAUGUAUUAGAAUGUUGAAUUUGUGGGCAAAUAUACAACUUUCAGCAACGGAUCUCUUGGCUCUC